CUCAUGUUUCUGUAGGGUUAGCGCGUGGGACUUUUAAUCCCAAGGCUGUGAGUUCGAGUCUCACGUCGGGCGAGA
rnacentral:tRNA from 1 species